rnacentral:rRNA from 1 species
AGGACGAACGCUGGCGGCGUGCUUAACACAUGCAAGUCGAGCGGAAAGGCCCUUCGGGGUACUCGAGCGGCGAACGGGUGAGUAACACGUGAGUAAUCUGCCCCUAGCUCUGGGAUAGCUCCGGGAAACCGGGAUUAAUACCAGAUACGACCACUUUAGACAUCUGCUGUGGUGGAAAGAAUUUCGGCUAGGGAUGAGCUCGCGGCCUAUCAGCUUGUUGGUGAGUAACGGCUCACCAAGGCGACGACGGGUA